rnacentral:lncRNA from 1 species
UUGUGUGUGAGAACGGAGGGGUAAUUAGUACAAACCAAAGGAAUCCAGUGGUCCUCCAACUCGAGAAGAGCAAAGGUGGCCAUGCAGCAUCUAUAUCAGUACUCCACAAGACAUGGCCAGGCCUGAACUAUCCAUAUAUCUAUCUAAUCUGAUGUACAUGACAUCAUUAUGCUCGUGUUGAAGAGAAGGAUGCUUGAAUCCUUGACCCUUCUCCCUAGGGUACAGACCCCAAGCUUUUAUGCCAUGGCCCAUGGAAUCGUACUCCCUUCAAGACCAAGAAAUUUGUACCAAUGAUAUGUAGUGGAUGAUUCCCUUCGUGUAGUUUGUAUGUUUGCAAGAACAAGGAAAACAGUCGCGACGUGAUAAGUAGCAAUCAUUUGCCGACAAUAGCCAUGGGCCUGCAGAGUUUUAACACAGCCUCGAUGUGAUACUGAGUAAAGGCUUCAGUAAGUGACAUCACCAACAGGUUGGAGGCUGAAUGGAUUGUGACAACCAACAUGGGCAGAGCUCGUCGCUUCCAUGAAGCGCUGGACUAGAUCAAA